CCCCAGACUGCUCCUGCCCAGGCCGGCAGGACUGAGUCACAGGGGCCACGGCUUUGAGGGACCUUGGAAGGCAUCCAGGUGACCCCCUCCAGGAGCUUCUGGCUUUAUGAUUCCUUUUUUUCCAGACUUGGCUGCCAGAGAGCUCAGUGCUGAGUUUGGAGCAUCAAUUACAAUAACUAAUUCAUUCCAGAGGGCUUAUGAAGAUAAAAUGAGACAUGGCAGUGUUCCCCAGAUGAGGAUCCAGAGACAGGCGGCACUCAUGAGGACAUUUUAACCAGCUUGCAGUGAGAUGAGGAAAUUGAGGACAUGGAGGGAGGCAUU